rnacentral:rRNA from 1 species
CCUACGGGAGGCAGCAGUGGGGAAUAUUGCGCAAUGGGCGAAAGCCUGACGCAGCAACGCCGCGUGGAGGAAGAAGGCUUUCGGGCUGUAAACCGCUUCAGCAGGAACGAAAAUGACGUACCUGCAGA